GGACACCAAACCACCUGCCGGUGACAUCGUCUCCUUCUGAGAUCUGAGGACAUGAACACCCAACCACCUGCCGGUGACAUCGUCCCCUUCUGAGAUCUGAGGACAUGGAUACCCAACCACCUGCCGGUGACAUCGUCUCCUUCUGAGAUCUGAGGACAUGGACACCCAACCUGCUGCUGGUGACAUCGUUCCCUUCUGAGAUCUGAGGACAUGGACACCCAACCACCUGCCGGUGACAUCGUCUCCUUCUGAGGUCUGAGGACAGACACUCACAUGGACACCUAAACACCUGCCGAUGAUAUUGUCUCCUUCUGAAAUCUGAGGACAUGGACACCCAACCAGCUGCUGGUGACAUCAUCUCCUUCUGAGAUCUGAGGACAGACACUCACAUAGACGCCCAAUCAGCUGCUGGUGACAUUGUCUCCUUCUGAAAUCUGAGGGUUGGAACACAUUGGCCUGGCUCAGUGUUUCUCCAUGUGGUUUUGAGACCACCUGAGUUGGAACCGAUAUGGGUUCCCAGCCUCACGCCUGGAGAGCUGGAUUUUGCGAGUGUGAGGUUAGGUCCAGCAUCUGCAUGUGUAACGAGCUCCCAGGUGUUUCGUAGAUGCAUUAGGGCUUGAGAAGCUCCUUUCUAGCACCAUCUUCCUUUUUGCGCAUGAGGGAGUUCAGGUCCAGAGAAAUAAAGCAGCAAGGUUAGUGGCACAGCUGGCGCCCCCUGCUUUCUAGGAAUUUAGAAUAUUAUUGAAGAGAGAGGUAUUAGAACCUGUGAAGUCAAUACAGAGACCUCCAGGCGAGUGGCAUCCUCACUGAAACCACUGACAAGUAUGCUGAAUAGAAAGUGUCAUUUCUCCUGGAAGACCCUCAGUGACCCAGCUGGAGGGUCUCUCCUACUCAUCAGCUGUCCCUCACUCUGCCAUUUCAGCAGCUCUGCUCACCCUGAGCAUGCAGAGAGAGCAGCUUUUAAAUGAGUUCUAAUCCAGACCAGCUUGGCUAGCAUUGUCUGUGUAGAGGUGUGCUAGUAAGUCUAACAACUGGCUCUCUGAGAGAGAGUAGCCCUACCUAACUGGUAGCAUUUGCCACUUCCCAUGGUGUAAAUACUCCCAGCAUGGCCAACUUCAAGCUUACUAAGAGGAUUUCGCUGAUCAUGGUUUUGGGGAGAGAUGUGCAGAUUGACUCCUGCCAGCUAGUAGGAGCCGGCUCCAGCACACCACGGCAUCUGUGUCCAGGAACCAGGCUGAGAUGUGGGAAGGCCAGAGAAGGAGGAGGCUGGCAGAUGCCUGAGGGCUGGGAAGGAUUGCAUCCAGGAGGACGGCCGUGGUGGGCAUCCCUGCAUUGGGGGGCAGCCGGGCCCAAGAUCCAGGGGGACAGAAAGCACAAAUGGUGCUGGGGUUCAGUGCCACACUCACCCUGGGGCAGAGGAGGGUGACACUGGCCCUGCCACCUGACCUCAGCCUCAGGGGCUCCAGAUCCUAGCCAGAGGCCUUGAGUGCUUCCUGCCACAAAGGCAGGGGGUGGCCUGGGAUUUCCUCUCUGAUCGGAGCUGAUGUUUCCCUCCAGGAAACCAUCCCUGCUCACCUUGCUAGGCCUGGGGCAAGUUGGAGUGAAGGGCAGGUCCCUCAGCCUUGCCUUUGAGACCUUACCUUCCACUUCAUUCCCGUCUGUGGCUCUCAUUCCUUCCCCACCCCUGCCCUAUGCUCUGGUGAGAAGGUGCAACCCUGUGAGCCCCCAUAGCAAGGUUCACUCCAGCCGUGCUUUCUGCUUGCUUUUGGUUUGUGAAAACCCUCCACUUUCUUAGAGGCCUUCUGCAAAUGUCAUUUCUUCAUAAGGAUCUUCCUACCCCGCCCGAGCCAGGGAGAUCCCUCCCUUCUCUGAGCCUAGAGCACCAUGUCCCUUCCCUGUAGCCCUGGUGACGUGCACCCUGGAUGGUGGCCCUUCCAGUGACAUGGAGGAUGUUUUCCCUCUACAGACACUGUCUGGUUUUAGGAUCCCGGAGCCAGGCAUCUCGCUCACCCCUGUAGCCACCACAGCAUUCAGCCCUGCAGCCUGGGACCUUGCUAAGGUCUUGCUUUACCCCUAAAAACCAAAAAUAGUGUGUCACCUUUAGCAGUGAUUGCCAACGCCUCUGGAGUGCUGGCUGGGACAGGCAUCUCUAUUUUCAUCCUCACCAAUCCUGCCAGGGAGCUACUCUGGGGAGCCCCAUCCUGCUGAUGAAUGACCGAGUCUCGCAGCGAUGACGGAACCUGCAGGUCCCAGGCUUGGGCCCAGGUCUGUCUUUCUCCAGGGGCCUCACAUCCAUCUCCUUCCCAGCUCUCCUUUUCUGUAAGACUUCACAGAACAGGUUCAAAAUCCAUUUGCUGGCCGAGCACAGUGGUUCACGCCUGUAAUCCAGCACUGUGGGAGGCCUCGAGGCAGGUGGAUCACCUGAGGUCAGGAGUUCGAGACCAGCCUGGCCAACAUGGCGAAACCCCAUCUCUACUAAAAAUACAAAAAAUUAGCCGGGCGUGGUAUCAGGUGCCUGUAAUCCUGGCUACUCGGGAGGCUGAGGCAGGAGAAUCACUUGAACCCGGGAGGUGGAUAUUGCAGUGAGCUGGGAUCAUGCCAUUGCACUCCAGCCUCGGCAACAAGAGUGAAACUCCAUCUCGGACAAAAAAAUCCAUUUGCUAAUACCAGGCUGAGGGUGAGCUGCUGUUCUCACCUGGGAGAGAUGAUUUGUCAGAACAUGUCUUAAAACCGGCUGCUGCCAUGCAGAGAUAGCACAUGACACGUGCCACCAGCCAGAGCCGCUAGUCCAUGGGCCAGGUAGGGUCCUCCCCACCCCAGCUCCGGGAAUGGGACCCCAGGAUUGGCAACACCUGUGGAUGCCACAUGGGUCUGAGGUCACUGUGCAGUGCGGCGCUUGGGCAGUGACCUGGUCCUUUCACUCUUUCCUCCAUACUUCCUUAUCUCAAGGUAAGAAAGGAAGAUUGACAACUCAGGCUGUAGAGUCAGAGAGUCCUGGGAUCAAAUCCCAGCUUAACCAUAUAAUCUGUGUGACUUUGGGUGAAUGAUUGAAACGAUCUGUGCUCCGUGUCACCAUCCACACGGUAGGGAUCACAGUUGGUCUCUGUCUCUGGGAGGUCUGUGGGCUUUAAAUGAGACAGUAGAGAUGAAGUGCUUAGAGCUGUGCCCCGUGCAUGGCCAGUGUGCAAUGAGAUGGUCUCAGAGUAUUAUGGCUGGAGUCACCACUUGUAUUACCAGGAAGCCCAGCCUCUGUGAUUACAGGAUUCCAACUAUGGUGACUCUGCACCUCUUCCUUUUUCUCUUGCUUUCUCAUUCGUCUUAUUACCAUUUGCUGAAAUUAAAUCAGAACACACAGGGGAAGCACCUAUCCUUGCCCAGCACAUAGUAGGCAUCGUGCAGGAGUCUGUGAGUCACAUGGUUUACUCUUGCCCUCCUCCCCAUGGUUCCUAGCACGGUGUUGAAUGUGUAGCAGGCCCUCCCUAAUGGACCCAGGAGAUCAGCCUGGGCACUCUCUCAUUCUCCUCCUGCCUCCCACCCUUGAUUCCCUCAUAAGACAGCAGCACAAGUGACUUCUAGGGGAACCGUAUUAGUCUGUUGCUAAGACCAGAUAAUUUAUAAAGAAACGAGGUUUCAUUGACUCACAGUUCUGCAGGCUGUACAGGAAGCAUGGCUGGGGAGGCCUCAGGAAACUUACAGUAGUGGCAGAAGGCAAAGGAGGAGCAGGCGUCCUCACAUGGCUGGAGCAGGAGGAAGGGAGAGAGCGGGGAGGCGCCAUCACUUUUAAACAAACAGGUCUCGUGAGAACUCACUCACUGUACAGUCCCAAGGGGGAAUGUGCCAAACCAUUCAUGAGAACUCCGCCCCUCUGAUCCAGUCACCUCCCACCAGGUCCCACCUCCAACACUGGGGACUAUAGUUCGACAUAAGAUUUGGGUGGGGUGGCAGAUCCCAACCAUAUCAGAAAGGGUCUUUAUGAUCAGUGGAGAGUGGCAGGGAGGUGUGGACCAUGGGGAGACACAGUCCUCCUGGACCUUGGAGUGAGAGGAUUCAGUUUUAGCAAAAACAGGAGAUAAGACUGUCUGGAAUUGUCCUUCUGUGUGAAUGACCCGCUCAAGGUCUCAAGGCAACUGCAUGGCCCACCCGCUCCACUCAUGGCCCUCUCACCCCCAUUCGGCACCCCAGCCUUCUCCUUGUGGGGUCACCCCGCCCCACAGUCCGACCCGGGCUGGAGUGAAAUCUCGGCUGACUGAUGCGCCUUCACGGAAGAUGGCAUGGAGGGGAUCCACUGUCCCCCUCAGGCCUCUUCUCCAAGACAAAGGACAGUCAUGUACACUGGCUCACAGACCACAGAGAUGCUGGUAGUUGGUGUGCAAGAGCAUUUAUCAUGUUGGAGAAUGACAAAGAGGGAGCAGGUGUCUGACCUGGGAUGAGAGAACACGGAGCGGUGAAGGCACACCAGGGGUGGAGAGGGCAGAGACAGGCUGUCAUUUUUCAGCACAAUUUUCCUCCCUUUAAUGUUCCCAUAGAUUAUGGGACCGGAUCAUCUGAUGGCCGAAAGAGAUGUUUUAUGGUGCCAGGGUGGAAGGUUUGAGGAGAGGGAAAAAUGAUUGUGAACUUUCUGUCCUACAAAGGCUCUCAUGGUCUAUAGAAUACAAAGUUGAUUUUGCUUUGCUUUUCUUGGAAAUGUGCUAGAGAGGAGAAAGGUAAAUAGGAUUUACCAGCCUCCUCCUGCAUGCAAAGCAAAUGGAAAGAACCCUCCCCCCUUGAACCUCCGUUUUGCUUGGAAGAAGCGGGAUGUGUCUUCUUGUUCCCCUUCAAGGGAGAUUUAAGAGGUCCUCUCCUGGAACAGCACAGAGUUUAAUGCUAAAUACUUUUCAAAAUCUUUUGGUCAUCUACAGUUUUCUCUCCUCGGCUCUGCGGUCAGGAGGGUUUGAGGAAAGAGGUGGAAAGUUCUCUCUCCGAGGGACCCUGUCCCCAGGCCUCAUGUGUUCCAGGGCCCCGUUUGCAGUUCUUGGCUGUAUGAGUGAAAAUCUUUAUUGAAGAACCAGAUUUCUUUUUUGCAAGGAGAAAAAAGAAAAGAAACCAAUAUCCAAUUCAAGUAGGGGCCAACAAGCAAAUGAAAACAUGCUCAAAUUGAUUAGUUUUCAGGGACAUUCAAUUUAAAACCACAUGAGAUAGCAUUUCAUGCCCAUUAGGACGGCUGGAGUCAAGACGGAUGACAGCAAGUGUUGGUGAGUGUGUGGGGGGUUCAGAACCCUCGUGCCUUGCCUGUAGGAAUGUGAAAUGGGGCAGCCUCUUCGAAAAAUGGUUUUGUAGUUCUUCAAAAAGUUAAACAUGAAAGGCCAGGCAUAGUGGGGUGGCUCACACUUGUAAUUCCGGUACUUUGGGAGGCUGAGGUGGGAGGGUCACUUGAGCCCAGGAGUUUGAGAGCAGCCUGGGCAAUGUGGUAAAACUCCAUCUAUACAAAAAAUACAAAAACUAGCUGGGCAUGGUGGUGUGCACCUGUAGUCCCAGCCACUCGGGAGGCUGAGGUGGGAGGAUCGCCUGAGCCCAGGAAUUUGUGGCUGCAGUGAGCCGUGAUCAUGCCACUGCACUCCAGCCUGAGAGACAGAGUAAGACCCUGUCUCAAAAAAAAGAAGAGAAAAAGUUAAACAUUAAACUAUCAUAUAACCCAGGAAUUCUGUCCCUAGGUAUAUGCCCCAAAUAAUUGGGAACAAGUAUGUUGUUUGUUUUUUUUUGUUUUUGUUUUUGAGAUGGAGUUUUGCUCUUGUUGCCCAGGCUAGAGUGCAAUGGCAUGAUCUUGGCUCACCUCAACCUCCGCCUCCCAAGUUCAAGCGAUUCUCCUGCCUCAGCCUCCUGAGUAGCUGGGAUUACAGGCAUGCACCACCAUGUCUGGCUAAUUUUGUAUUUUCAGUAGAGACGAGGUUUCUCCAUGUUGGUCAGGCUGGUCUCAAACUCCUGACCUCAGGUGAUCCACCCGCGUCGGCCUUCCAAAGUGCUGGGAUUAUAGGCAUAAGCCACCACACGUAGCUGGGAACAGCUAUUUAAACAAAUGUUGUACACGAAUGCCCGCAGCAGGACUACUGACAAUAGCCCAAAACUGACAACAACCCAAAUGUCUGUCAAUGGAUAAAUAAAUAAACUGUGG
rnacentral:lncRNA from 1 species